UUUAGCCUCUAAAAAGUAACGCAGUCCAAACUGCUUCUGUUCGGAGUCUUCAGUGUCUCUGAGGAGCAGCAAGAAAAUGCGUCCCUAGAUGCAGAAAUCUUCCUCAUCUCACACUUGUUUUAAAGAAUUGAAAUACAAAAACUGGCAUAGACAUGACUAUCCAUGACCAAACCCCAGAAGGAAUUCCAAAGAAAAGAGGACCCGAUGAUGCUAUGACUGAUCUCAAGGUUAAGUGCCACAGAUUUAUGGAUGCUUCUGCUGAAAAACUGAAGUUCGUUCUGAAAUCAAAAUAUCACCUAAGGUUGAACAAUUUGCCUCCUUUUUAGCUAUUAGCAACACAUCCUGAUUGUUCAUCAUAUGAUGAAGAAAGCUCUUUUCCAUACUGGGCCCCACCUGCCUUACUAUUAAGAAAAGAUAUCUUCCUUA